UGUCUGGAAACACACCCUAGGGAGGUUGGCUCUGGCUAAUUCCCUGAUCGAGGGAUCUCUUUCCCUGUGAUUCCUGACCCCAGAUCCUCACAGGAAGACAAGACAAUUGGACAGGAUUCUGAAACAUGAGCUGUCCACUAAGAAAGAUUUCCAUCAACCUCUUUGAAUUUGAACUUGGGGACACGUUCUGUGCAGCCAAGAACAAGAAUCUCUUUACUCUGAUCCAAAGAGGAUCAAGUGAAACAAGCCUGAUCUGCCUGACUUUGGGGGAAAGGGUAUUAGUUAGAUAGGGACCCCUUCUCCCUCCUUCCUUCUUGAACCUCAAUUCCUUACCCUCCAUCUUCCCUGUUCCCUUUCUGUUUCCCUCAAAUAAGCACAGUUAAUAAGACCGAGGAACAGACUCAACUGUUACUAGAGGGAAACUUGAGAUUGAGGGGGAAGAGAAGUGACCUUUCUCUUCCCAGGAAGAAAGGAGGCUUAUGACCAUAAGCCUUUACAACAAGAUCCUUCAGAGAACCCAGCAGUUAAGAGGCAUUAUUUCCCUUGAUGAUGGCUGCUGUGACUGAACUGGACAGAGGCUCAUCAAAGGACCCACAUAGCAUCAGGAUCAACAUUGGAUGGGAACCUGGUGGUACCAACGUUAUGCAGAAAUUGUAUAGAAAUUAUCUGAGAUCACUUUCCUCAGAGACUGAUAUGUGCUCACAAAGGGAAAAUAGCUGCGUUUUUGUUCUUAGUAUGUCCUGAAAAUAAAGAUUUCUUUCUAGAAGUUAAAAAAAAAUAUUAUUGGGACAGCUAGGUUACUCAGAGGAUAGGGAUCUAGGCCUGGAUAUGAGAAAUCCUGAUUUUAAAUCUAGCCUCAGAUACUUCUAAGCUGUGUGACCCUGGUUAAGUCACUUAACCCCAGUUGCCUAGCCCUUAUUACUCUUCUGCCUUAGAAUUGAUACUGAUUCUAAGAAAGAAGGUAAAGGUUUAAAAAAUUAUAUCACCAACUCAUUUAUUCAAAAGUCACUUAUCUGGAAGUCACUUACCCAGCAACUUUUGCUAAUGGAAUAUACUAAAUACCCCAAAGACUGUUUUGUUUGAAUAUCUCAUAUUCAUUUGUUACAUAGUAUUGUGUCAUUGUUAUACAUAUUGGUGUCUUAUCCUCCUACUAGUUUAUAAAUUCCAUGAGUUCAGAGAUCAUUUCAAUCUAAACUUAUAUUCCCCCUGUGCUUUUUACAUGGUAGAUAAUUAAUAAACAUUUGCUGAGUGAAAUUGGACCUAGGAUUAAUACCCAUCCUAGAGUUAAAAGUGGUGUGAUCAACGUCUUUCAGGUUGCAUGAUGUAGAAAUAAUUUUAACUCCUAUCAAGCACGUGGGUGAGACUUUUCUCAUUUCUGUAGAUAGCUUAGACUUCAAAGAAAAAAAAAACAAACCCAAUAUUUCAUUGUAUUUAGGAACAAUGCCAAACAGAUAAGGGGGAAAAAAACUCAUGAUACCCAAAGUCAAGUGUUUAAAUUAUUUUUCUUUUAAAAACAUGUGGGUCAAAGAAUAAAGUCUUAAAAACAUGUGCUUCUC